GAAAACAUAGUUGAUGGGGCAGAGCAGAGGAAGCUGGAGGGGGCAGUGGAAAGGGAGGGAGGGCUUCGGAUAGCAGACUUGGGAGGUUUGGUGGGGGUGGGGCACCCAAACCUGGGCGCUGAGAAGCAACUCACUUGGAACUCAAGAACAUCUCCGGCUCCCCUAGCCUGGGAGAGGACUGGCUUCAUGUCUUUGCGCAACCACUUCUAAAAGCCUUGGAACGAACCUUGCCUAUUUAUUAUUAUUAUUGAAGUGUGAAAAGUCUUUUGCGGGGGGUGAGCUGAAUGAGAACCUUUGCUGGAGCUGGCACACAGAGGAAGUCCUGAGGGGAGGGUAGACAAUGGAGGGAAGGGCUUGGGACCUUCGUCAUGAGAGCUGGGUCCUUCUCCCUCUCUGCCUCUCACUAAGCUUAUGAUCUUAGCAGUGAAAAUAAUCUUGAUAUUUAGCAGUGAAAAUAAUCUCUCUAAGGUGGGGAAAGGACACUGGUCCCUGCAGUGCUCAAUAAAUUAUGAGGAUCAAAAUAAAUUAUUAGUGAAUAUUAAUGGGAAAACUAAGAAAUUGUUAAAAUUCUCCAAUACAUUACAUUUUCAUCCACAGAAAAGUGUAGGCUAGGGAUCACAGGGAAAUAGUUAGCAAUGACAGGUAUAGUUCAAAUUAAAAAGAUGUUUGUGAGGCUGACAAAGAGGAAAUGGACACAGUUCCUGAUCCUGGAGGGUUCAUAGUCUAAUGGGGGAGGGUAGAAGAUGGCAGAUGACAGCUGGGUGUGGUGGCGCUUGCCUGUAGUCCCAGCUACUCAGAAGGCUGUGGUGGGAGGACUGCUUGAGCCCAGGCAUUGGAGGCUGCAGUGAGCUAUAAUCACGCCACUGCACUCCACCUGGGUGACAGAGUGAGGCCAAAAAAAGAUUCAAGGCAGGGCACAGUCAGUACCAUCAGGAAGGUUGAAACCAUGAGCUAGAUCAGGAGCUCUAAAACUUGACUACACACUGGAAUCACACCUAGGGAACUUUAAAAGAUACGAAGGUUUAGGUCCAGCCUAGGUUUGCUGAUUUAACUGGUUUGGGCUCUGGCCUGGGAACAUGGAUAUUAAAACUCUCCAGGUGGUUCUAUGCAGUGGCUAGGUUUGAAGACCAUUGGCUAAAUGUCCCAAAGACUAAGAGAUGUUUGCUGGGGACAAGGCAAUUCUCACAGUAGAAAGGGGCUUUCCGGACAGGAUUAUUAUUAUUGAGAAUUGAGAAUUCAUAUGCCACAUAAUUUAUCCUUUUAAAGUGUACAGCUCAGUGGCUUUUAGCAUAAUCGCAAGGUUGUGCCACCAUCACAGCUAUCUACAUGAAAAGAUUUUCUUCUUUUUUUUAGGCUAGUCAAGUGAAAUAGUGGGAGUGAGUAAGAAACAAAGACAUCCAUAACUGGUUGUGAUCAAUUAGGUGUAAACACCAGUACACUCAGACCAGCCUAAGUGGGAAGAUUUUAAGGAUAUGGUGUGGUCUGAUGGGCUCCAGGCAGAGGUGACAGUGACCUGGAUUAGGGACAUGGCUUAGGCAGUGGCAUCCUGGUGGGAUAGGGUGAGGAGAUCCCAGAGCUCACUUUUACUGCAACCCUGAGGAGAUGUCACCAGAGAAAUGGGUGUGACAUUUCGCCAAACAGCAGGUUUUGGCAGCUGUGGUUUCCAUGGUAGAGUAGAAGCAUCCUGUGUGACAUUCAGCAGAUGUGGCGCUGUGCGUGGCUUGGAACACUCUGGUUACAACUGGGGCAGGCACCGUGUUUAGGAAGCCGGUGUAGUAACCUAGGCUGAAGGGAGGGAAAAGCCUAGACCAAGGCAGUGGCUGUGGGAUUGAAAUAGGGUUGGAGGAGCUGACUUUGACUCCUGGAGAUGAAGGGGAAGGAGGAAAUCAGAAGGGACCAAGGAUGGUGAUGCUCUAAAGAGAAACGGAGUGAUGUGGUGGGAGACAUGUAGAAAGUUCUUGUGGAUCUGUCACACUGGAGGGACUGUGGCCCCGGAGGUACAGAUGUCCUAAGGCAGGCUGGGAAAGGGAGUCUGGAGAGAGCUUGGUGUUAUAGUGAACCAUGGGGAGCCGCGUCCUUGGCCCUGUGAUUAGCCAGGGACUGAAUAGAGAGGCGGCCCUGCGAGACCUCAGACACUUAGAAGAUAUUAUGGGGUGAAGGGGGACCUGGUUUCGAGUCGAAGGGAAGAGAAGGAGAUUCUAAAGCUGAAACGUCUAAGAGUUUGUCGUCUGAGCGGUGCUGCUGAGAGGCAGAGGUGACUGAGAUCUGGAAACAAGUCUGCAAAUCUGGUCACUGCUCUCAUUGCCAGUAACGUUGUGCGCGGCUGAGGGAGUGUGUCGGGAGAAUAGCCGCGCGUUGUCUGUCCUGGAAGGAACAAGCCAAUGAGAGCCGGCCGGAUGGGGCGACCGGCGAAAGGGGCUUGGUGAGGCCCGCGCUCCUUAGGGUGGGGGUGCGGGGACGGGUGGUGGCGAUGCAGCGAGGGCGGCAGGGCCCUGGCCAUGCUCCUCAGGUUGGAGCUGUACCCUCAGCUACUCACAGCAGGUCCCCGCUUUUGGCUGCGCUCCCAUUCGUCUGGGCCCCUGGUACCGCCGGCUACAGUUCCCCGAGUCUCAAGCCUCUGGAUAUUUCCGAGCGUGGCCCCGCCCUCUCCGCCAAGUAUGGACUAAGUGGUGCCGAAGUUGCCGCCUUCAUUUUCAUUGGAGGAGCGGUUGUUGCGCUUAAAUAUCAGCGCGGCCUUCUCCCCGGCUCCGCUCAGUCACAUGUGCUUCAGCAGCUGAGACGGUGGCGACGUCGGGCCAUGGGGCUGGUUUGGGUCCUGCUGUUUCUGGCCGGCGUCUUCUCUUUUGCAGCCCAGGGAGCCGCCGCUGAGCCCCACAGUCUUCGUUAUAACCUCACAGUGCUGUCCUGGAAUGGAUCUGUGCAGUCAGGAUUUCUCGCUGAGGGACAUCUGGAUGGUCCAGCUCUUCCUGCACGUGUGACAGGCAGAAUGCCCGGCAGGGCCCCAGGGACAGUGGGCAGAAGCAGUCCUGAGAGCUGAGAUCCUCAAACACUGAGAUCGAGGACUUGAGAGAGAAUGAGAAGGACCUCAAGAUGACCCGGCUCAUAAAAGGGGCAGAAAGGAGCCUUGCAUUCCUCCAGGAAAUUAGACUCUGUGAGAUCCAUGAAGACGGCAGCACUAGGGGCUUCCAGGCAUUUCUACUCUGAUGGGAACCUCUUCCUCCUCAAAACCUGGACACUCGGGAGUGGAACGUGUCGCAGUCCUCCAGAGUUCAGAUCCUGCCUAUAAACAUCACGAAGGUGCUUGGAAGAAAAUGCAAAGAAAGCUGGCGCUGUGCUGGCAGACUGCCUGUGGAAACUACGGCGAUAUCUGGCAUCUGGGGCAGGAGUCAGGAGAACAGUGCCCCCCAUGGUGAAUGUCACCCGCCUCAAGGACUUCAGAUGGCAACAUCAAUGUGACGUGCUGGGCUUCCGGCUUCUAUCCCCAGAAUAUCACACUGACAUGGCGUCAGGAUGGGGUAUCUUUGAGCCCGGACUGCCCAGCACAUCGGAGGGUGUCCUGCCUGAUGGGAAUGGAACCUACCAGACCUGGGUGA